UGGGGAAUCUUGCACAAUGGGGGGAAACCCUGAUGCAGCGACGCCGCGUGAACGAUGAAGCCCUUCGGGGUGUAAAGUUCUUUCGACAGGAACGAUAAUGACGGUACCUGGAGAAGAAGCUGCGGCUAACUACGUGCCAGCAGCCGCGGUAAUACGUAGGCAGCGAGCGUUGUUCGGAGUUACUGGGCGUAAAGAGUGCGUAGGCGGCGAGCCAAGUUUGGUGUGAAAUCUCCCGGCUUAACCGGGAGGGUGCGCCGAAAACUGGUUGGCUGGAGUAUGGGAGAGGAAAGCGGAAUUCCUGGUGUAGCGGUGAAAUGCGUAGAUAUCAGGAGGAACACCUGCGGUGUAGACAGCUUUCUGGACCAAAACUGACGCUGAGGCACGAAAGCGUGGGUAGCAAACA
rnacentral:rRNA from 1 species